rnacentral:rRNA from 1 species
UACGUAGGGUGCAAGCGUUGUCCGGAAUUAUUGGGCGUAAAGAGCUCGUAGGCGGUUCGGUAAGUCAGGUGUGAAAUCUCCACGCUCAACGUGGAGGCGCCACCUGAAACUGCCGUGACUCGAGUCCGGUAGGGGAGUGUGGAAUUCCUGGUGUAGCGGUGAAAUGCGCAGAUAUCAGGAGGAACACCGGUGGCGAAGGCGGGUCACUGGCGGCGAUACUGACGCUGAGGAGCGAAAGCGUGGGGAGCGAACAGG